CGCCUCUUGACAACUUAUAAGAGGUCCAGCCUGCCCAGUGACAAAGUUCAACGGCCGCGGUACCCUAACCGUGCGAAGGUAGCAUAAUCACUUGUUCUUUAAAUAAGGACUUGUAUCAAAGGCAUCACGAGGGCUACACUGUCUCCUUUCUCCAAUCAGUGAAACUGAUCUUCCCGUGAAGAAGCGGGAAUCUACUUAUAAGACGAGAAGACCCCAUGGAGCUUUAAACCCAUUAUAUACCUCUGUUUAUUCACACCAAAAUAACCUAAAAGACUUAUAUACUGGUUUUAGGUUGGGGGGACCACGGAGUAAAACUUAACCUCCACGACAAAUGGGCUACGCCCUUAUUUAAGAACUACAAUUCUAAAAAUCAAUAAAUUAAUGUUAAAUGACCCGAAUUAUCGAUCAACGAACCAAGUUACCCUGGGGAUAACAGCGCAAUCUACUUCAAGAGCCCCUAUCGCCAAGUAGGUUUACGACCUCGAUGUUGGAUCAGGGUAUCCCAGUGGUGCAGCCGCUACUAAAGGUUCGUUUGUUCAACGAUUAAAACCCUACGUGAUCUGAGUUCAGACCGGAGUAAUCCAGGUCGGUUUCUAUCUAUAAAGCGUUUUUUCUAGUACGAAAGGAUCGAAAUAACAUGGCCUAUGCACCACCAAGCCAUAACUCUUUACUAAUGAAUAUUAUCUUAAUUAGCCAAGAUCUAAUACUUUGUUAUAGGCCAUAACA
rnacentral:rRNA from 1 species